ACUGGUGAGUAACACGUAAGCAACCUGCCUAUUAGAGGGGAAUAACAGCGAGAAAUCGUUGCUAAUACCGCAUAUGCUGCGAGUAUCGCAUGAUACAAGCAGGAAAGGAGCAAUCCGCUAAUAGAUGGGCUUGCGUCUGAUUAGUUAGUUGGUGGGGUAACGGCCUACCAAGACGAUGAUCAGUAGCCGGACUGAGAGGUUGAACGGCCACAUUGGGACUGAGAUACGGCCCAGACUCCUACGGGAGGCAGCAGUCGGGAAUAUUGCGCAAUGGAGGAAACUCUGACGCAGUGACGCCGCGUGCAGGAAGAAGGUUUUCGGAUUGUAAACUGCUUUUAACAGGAAGGAAAAAAAUGACGGUACCUGUUGAAUAAGCUCCGGCUAACUACGUGCCAGCAGCCGCGGUAAUACGUAGGGAGCGAGCGUUAUCCGGAUUUAUUGGGUGUAAAGGGUGCGUAGACGGAAAUGCAAGUUAGUUGUGAAAUACCUCGGCUUAACUGAGGAACUGCAACUAAAACUAUAUUUCUUGAGUAUCGGAGGGGUUUGUGGAAUUCCUAGUGUAGCGGUGAAAUGCGUAGAUAUUAGGAAGAACACCGGUGGCGAAGGCGACAAACUGGACGAUAACUGACGUUGAGGCACGAAAGUGUGGGGAGCAAACAGGAUUAGAUACCCUGGUAGUCCACACCGUAAAC
rnacentral:rRNA from 1 species